CACAUGGUUUUCUUCCAAAUUUUAUUUAUUGAUUCAUGCAUUGUUUUUAUUUUCUAUUUUUUAUGAUUUGGAUUGAUUCUCACUAGCCACUUAGGGCUUUUUUGGUACCUUUUGUCCCCAGGUUUCUUUCUUCUUUUAUUAAUUGCUUUGACUUGGUUAUAUAGGGUUUUUGAGAUUUGUUAAGUUGAUGAUAGGGAGAUGUAUUUCUUUUUGGGUUUGGGUUUCUAGUUAUUUUUUGAAGUAGGUUUUUGUACCUCUUUUAUUCUUUUUUCUUUUUCUUUUCUUUCUGGGUUAAUGCGUCUAUAUGAUGGUUCUUCAUGCCCAAAAGAAUCAAGAGGAUUCUCUCUCAGAAUUUACAUUAACUGAAAUGAGGUCGUUCACACUUAAAUUUGAAUCUUCUUCAUGCCCACAAGAUUGAGAGGAUUCUUCCUCUGAAUUCAUUCUGAGUUUAGAAGCAAAGAGAAUGGGACAUCAGCCUAGGUGAGGCCAAGUGAAAGGUGACUAGGUGAGAGUGCCAGGAUGGGACAACAUCAACUUCAAGAAAGGAAGAAGGGAAGCAAAAAGUGUUCAGUUGAAGUCUGGAUGGGAUUUAGUGAUUUUUAUGUGUUUUGUGAUGCAUUCAGCGAACAAUCCAUAAUACCAAAUUCUCUGUAUGUGACAUUGACAACUGAACAAUGUCAAUAGGUCACAGCUUUUGUUUUUUUAUCAGUAGGUACAUGUUCAUGGAAACUAAAAUUCAGUUAGUUAAAAUUAUGUUGUGAAAUUCAUGUUCAUGAUUA